rnacentral:rRNA from 1 species
UACGGGGGGGGCAAGCGUUGUUCGGAAUUACUGGGCGUAAAGGGCUCGUAGGCGGCCAACUAAGUCGGACGUGAAAUCCCCAGGCUCAACCUGGGAACUGCGUCCGAUACUGGAUGGCUUGAAUUCGGGAGAGGGAUGCAGAAUUCCAGGUGUAGCGGUGAAAUGCGUAGAUAUCUGGAGGAACACCGGUGGCGAAGGCGGCAUCCUGGACCGGCAUUGACGCUGAGGCGCGAAAGCUAGGGGAGCAAACGGG